UGCAGUCGAACGAUGACCGGUUCGGUGGGGAUUAGUGGCGAACGGGUGAGUAACACCUGGGUAAUCUGCCCUGCACUCUGGGACAAGCCCUGGAAACGGGGUCUAAUACCGGAUACUGACCCGCCUGGGCAUCCAGGCGGUUCGAAAGCUCCGGCGGUGCAGGAUGAGCCCGCGGCCUAUCAGCUUGUUGGUGAGGUAAUGGCUCACCAAGGCGACGAUGCGUAGCCGACCUGAGAGGGUGAUCGGCCACACUGGGACUGAGACACGGCCCAGACUCCUACGGGAGGCAGCAGUGGGGAAUUGUUCGCAAUGGGCGCAAGCCUGACGACGCAACGCCGCGUGGAGGAUGAAGAUCUUCGGGUCGUAAACUCCUUUCGAUCGAGACGAAUUCCUCCGGGGUGAACAAUCCUGGAGGUUGACGGUACCGAGAGAAGAAGCCCCGGCUAACUCCGUGCCAGC
rnacentral:rRNA from 1 species